UACGGGGGGGGCAAGCGUUGUUCGGAAUUACUGGGCGUAAAGGGCUCGUAGGCGGCCAACUAAGUCGGAUGUGAAAUCCCCAGGCUCAACCUGGGAACUGCAUCUGAUACUGGAUGGCUUGAGUUCGGGAGAGGGAUGCGGAAUUCCAGGUGUAGCGGUGAAAUGCGUAGAUAUGCGGAGGAACACCGAUGGCGAAGGCAAUCCCCUGGGCCUGCACUGACGCUCAUGCACGAAAGCGUGGGGAGCAAACAGG
rnacentral:rRNA from 1 species